CCUACGGGAGGCAGCAGGGGGGAAUAUUGGGCAAUGGGCGCAAGCCUGACCCAGCAACGCCGCGUGAAGGAAGACGGCUUUCGGGUUGUAAACUUCUUUUCUGAGGGACGAAGAAAGUGACGGUACCUCAGGAAUAAGCCACGGCUAACUACGUGCCAGCAGCCGCGGUAAUACGUAGGUGGCAAGCGUUAUCAGGAUUUAUUGGGUGGAAAGGGCGUGUAGGCGGGAAAGCAAGUCAGAUGUGAAAACUCAGGGCUCAACCCUGAGCCUGCAUUUGAAACUGUUUUUCUGGAGUGCUGGAGAGGCAAGCGGAAUGCCGUGUGUAGCGGUGAAAUGCGUAGAUAUACGGAGGAACACCAGUGGCGAAGGCGGAUUGCUGGACAGUAACUGACGCUGAGGCGCGAAAGCGUGGGGAGCAAACAGGAUUAGAUACCCGAGUAGUC
rnacentral:rRNA from 1 species